GAAAGUUCGUGCGACUUCAGAAAGCUGAAACGAUCCCAGUGCCAUCCCGCCGGCGAUUUCCAUUGUAGCCGACAGGAAGAAGCGAUUUAUCGCUGAGCGACUAAUUUCCGUAAAUAGCAGCGUGUCUCUGCCCUAAUGUCUUCUAAUAACCCAUAUGUGCAAAACCAAUGACAAGGUCUGAAAUGAUAGUAACUAUUUUAUAAUCAUAAACUGUAUUGUUUCAUCAAACACUCCCACGUGACUGGCUGCCACAGAACAGAGGUAAAGAGAUGCCUUUGUGUCAUAUUUCAGAGCAAAGCAAGGUAGGACUUCUAAAAUGGGAUAAAAUCAUCGAAAACAAACAGAUUCACGAGUUUAAUGACGGUAAAUAGGCGGCAACAUUCCAACAUGAGCGUCACUGAAACCAGUUAGGACCGGAUGAAACAAGUAUUCCAAACGGACCUCAUUUUUUACCUCAGCGAUGGUGAUAUCAAUGCGCCGCGGAGGAGGACGUGUCCAUAAAUUAAAAAUAAAUACACAAAUAAACCACGACGCAUCAACGCAAACAUAAUAUAUGUAUGGAAUCACAUAAGCCAUACGGAUAUGAAGUCAAAUAGUGCGAAUUAUUAGUCUGAUAGUUCGCGCGGAGGAAUACCUGCGUCACUUCGUGUACGUCACGGAGGAGGGGGUUUAUAAACCUCUGUGAGACGUCGUUCGCUCAGUUCUCGUAGAAGUUUGCUGAGGGAAACAUCGAAGACUUCGAGGAGCAACGCAGCCAGAAUUUUCCACUGAUAUAUAUUUUUUGUUUGUUUUCAGCAUUGUUUCUCUCAAACUCAUCGCACCCCGUUCUGUCAGCUCUUUUAACGCGUUUUGCGAAUCUGCAAUUACCUGAAGGUAUUUAUAAUUGACUACAACAAACUUUGCUUUUGUGCCUCCCUGUCUCUGUGGUAAACUACUGGGUCUUCUCUCAGUGAAGAUCGUAGAGUUUUCCUUUUAGUUCUAUUUCGGCUUUAGACUUGAUUAUGUCUGACCAGUACCUUUAAAAUUGGUAUUUGGUAAUUAACGGUAUAGAGACAGUUUUAGGGGGUGAUUUGUGACUGUUUUCAAGCCUGAAUACGAUCUUGCUUUAAUGGAUUAGUGUGGGAUUAUGUGCCACGUAUAACAAGGGCUGUGGAUAAUACACAAGAUGGCGGCUGAUGAAGCUUAAAUGGGCGUGGUUAGGGAGCUGAUCGCCAUUUUAGAUGACUGGCAUUUUUCUUGAAUUCAAGGUGGCCACCACAGCCUUUUGUGGGUGGGGCUAGAAUAUGCUGGAAAGCUGUAGUAUAAAAGAAUCUAGUGUAACUAGAGAAGCUCAAACUAUAUAUUAUAUUGGGCUUUAACAUUUUAUGGAGUGGAUUCCACUAGUAAAUAUAGAGAGCUAGCGUGAUACCUUUUUUUUCUAGGCAAAUGCUGUCUUACUGUAAUGUUAGUGUGGUUAUGUGCCACGUAUAACAAGGACUAGAUACUACACAAAAUGGCGGCUCCUGCUGCUUAGAUGGGUGUGGUUAGGGAGCUGUUCACCAUUUUAGAUGACGACAUUUCUUGAAUUCAAGAUGGCCGCCACAGCCUCUUUUUUUGGGUGGGGCUAGAAUAUGCUGGAAAGCUGUAGUGUAACUAGUGAAGCUCAAACUAUAUAUUUUAUAAUGGGUUUAAACAUUUUGUGGAUGUCUUCCGCUAGUAAAUAUAGCGUGAGGGCUGUGGUAAUUGUUACUUUUUUCAAGCCAAAUGUUAUCUUUCUGUAAUGCAUAAGGAUAAUGACACUCGUUAAGAUUUGGGGAGAUUUAGUAGCCUGACAAAUCUCCUUCUUGGACGAGUAAUCUCACUGAAAUGCAUUCCCGUCGGCUAGAAUCUAAAUUGCCUGCGGGAUGGCACUCUGAGCGCUUCGUUUUCCGAAGUUUCCUCUUGAGGCAAUUUUGAGAAAUGAAGUGCACAGAGUUCCAUCCCAUUGGUGAUUUAGAUUCUAGCCGACGGGAAGGCAUUUCAGUGACAUUACUCGUUAAAAGAUUUGCCAGGCUACUAUUUCUCCCUAAAUCUUGCCGUGUGUCACCACCCUUAGAGUGGGGGUAUGUGCUACGUAUAACAAGGGCUGUUGAAAAUACUAAAGAUGGCGGCUGAUGCUGCUUAGACAGGCGUGGUUAGGGUGCUGUUUGCCAUUUUAGAUGAUCUCAAAAUGGCUGCCACAGCCUUUUUUGUGGGUGGGGCUAGAAUGUGCUGGAAAUCUGUAAUAUAAAAAUGUAGUGAAGCUCAUUCUAUAUAUUUAUAUUAAGAUGGGCUUAAACCUUUUAUAUAACGUUUUCCCCUAGUAAAUAUAGAGCGAGAGCCAGUGUGAUUGUUACUUUUUUCAAGCCAAAUGCUAUAUUAGUGUGGGCUUAUGUGCUACCUAUAACGAGGACUGUCAAUACUACACAAAAUGGCGGCUCCUGCUGCUUAGAUGGGUGUGGUUAGGGAACUGUUCACCAUUUUAGAUGGCAUAGCUCUUGAAUUCAAAAUGGCCGCCACAGACUCUUUUGUGGGUGGGGCUAGAAUAUGCUGCAAAGCUAUAACGUGAAGCUUGAACUAUAUAUUAUGAUGAGCUUAAACAUUUUAUGGAUAGGUUUACAUAGGGUCGGGGCUCCCAAGGCACAAUCGCAUAGUUAUUUACCUUGACAAACAAGUCCUGUUAAAGUAGCUGACAGAAUUUUUUUUCAAGUAUCUCUCCUUCCAACGCCGCUGGAUUCAGAAUGGAUGGAAAAGACUCAAGCAAUGUAAUGCCUCACUGGACUUCAUUAAGCAGAACCAAAACCAAAUACCCAUCUAUGGACUGACCAUAUCUCAAUUUCUUUUAUUCCUAUUUUAUUUUUUUUUAAAUAUUUUAUUUAUACAAUGUAUUUUUGUCUUGCAUUUUUUUAAUGAAAUAUAUAAUUGUUGCAGUCUUGUUCAGCUGAUGUUGUUAUGGGCACAUUCAAAGGUGUUGCCGAUGUCCUUAUUUUAAAAAAAACCCACCAGCCCUACAAUGUUUUAUAUAAAUAAGCCCUUGUCUGUAGAAGACUUGCGUUGCUUAUGGGCUCUCUAGUACUUAAUCUCCCCUUUUAUCCUAGACCAGAAAAUUUAUUACAAGCAUUUGUUGCUUGAUAUGUUUGGUAAAACAUGGCAUUGUGUUAAAUUAUUUGAUUUAAUUACCACGAAGAUUACAUAAAUAAAAUGUAUAACAAUCUUCCACAACCAUAAAGCAGUCUGACAAAGGCGUGCAGCAAGAGCUAUUUCAAGUAACAAGAUCAGCUCAUGUUGCUAUAUAACAAUAAUUCUGUUGUCUUUAGGGGGAGACAGAACGAUGGGGUUUAAGCUCCACCCUCGAGGAGGCAGGACACUUGUGAUUUAAUGCAUACUUCCCCCACCUUUUUAUCAUGUUAAUCCACAGCUCAGCCUUUACUCCCAAGAAAUGGAAUUAUAUUUCAGAUUUUAACCAAGUUUACUUCCAUUUUGUUCAGUUGUCAUUGGAUAGCUUCUUUUGAUAUCACUGGCGUUUGAACCCUCUGAUGGCAGUGUACAGUUCUGUGGUAAGCAAUAAAGCCCCCCUAACCUUUACCCAUUUAAACCUGUAGUAGGUGACUUUAAAAAUUAAACCAGCCUGACCAUAUAACUUUUUUUAUGUAACCCCUCCUUUGUAGGACCCACACGGCUCAUAACUAUCAAACUAAUGGGAAAUAUUUGGUAUUAUUCCUUGAAGGAGAGUAUUGUAGUCCCUUGGGGAAAUGUGGCACGUUGUUACUAUCUUACAAACCUACUGUUGUCUCCCUUUUAGAUUAAUGCCAUUUUUACAGGCUCAUACAAUUACUUUCUGUUUUUUACUGAAAAGCAGAAUAGUUCUUUAGGUUGUCAUCAAUGUAUUUGUCACUGCCUUAAAACAAUAAAUGGAUCCACCCGGAACAGUUAAUGAAAUGAAGGAAUAUUAAUAUUUUCAAUGUUUCCAUAGGAAGUUUAUUUUAUUUUUCAGAUAAGUGAGAGAUUGAGUGGCUCUUGUGACAUCUGCAAAGUUUUUAACAAUGUUUGCAAGUAAGACUAUCAUGUGUGAUGUGUAACAAUUUUUCUGAAUUAAAUUUACAGAUUGAUUUUAUGUUUCACUGUCUCAUUCUUUUAUGGUUUGGUUAUGAACACUUUUUAGUAACUGUGUUUCAGAUGGGAAUGAAGUGCCCUGGAAAAAAACGGCCUCUUCUCUCAGCUUCUUACUCUGACUCGCUGUUCCUGUUGAAUGCUAAGUACUCAAAUAUGGUUCUAGUAAGCAAUGCUUAAUACAGCGUCACCCCAUUGUUACUGUAAGCUUCUCAUUUUGUAACGGGAUCACUAAUACAGGGUGGGUUACAUAAUGGCUCUGGCAUAGCCUAUUCUACAGGGGAAAGUAGUAAUAUUUGAACAUUACUUUCAUUUCCUUGGGCAGGUUGCACAUCCUAAAUGGAGAUGAAAACUCCCAAAGCACUAAAGUGGGCUGAACCCGAAUGAACAGUCGCUCAAAUUCAUUUUCCGUACGUCCUAUUCCAGGAAGGUUAUGACUUUUCUUUGUCAGGGUUUGGCCUCAGUGUGCUAGCGGUUCCUUUGCUAAGUAAGGUCUCUCCGCCCUGCACAUGGGAUACAUACAUGUCACACAGGGAAUGCUCUAUUUGUAGCUGAAAGUUUUUGUUAUAUGCAUACCUGCAUGUGUGCUAUAGUCAUGGUCUGAGCACAAUAGUCUGGCUGUAAACCUAUCGGGCCUCUCCCUAGCCAAUAGUGUAUAUUUGACAGUUUUUACUACUGCUUUGUUUUAUAGCAGUGCUUGAAUUUGUAUGCAUAUAUAACUGGACCAUGCCUGCCGAGGUUUAGCGUAAGCUUGCAUGAAUAGUGUAACCAAGCACUUGACAAACAAAACAAAUUCAACACAUUUGUGUAAAAAGUGCCCUCCAAUACAAUUAUGCUUUCUCUUUCUGGUCUCUCUGGUUUAAAAUUCCUCAAGAACAUAACUCUGUCCCGAACUGCAUGUGCAAGACUUCAUUCCAGUACGAAUACUUGGCGUCUCUUGUGGUUGGUAUCUUGAGGUCUUUGUAAAAGCAACUAAAAGGUAAACCGUGUGGGACAAUGCAGUGCAUGAAGCAAUUGAGCGGGGGGGGGUGGGCUUGAAUCCAAACAUAUUCGUCAUCUAAAGAUAAUGUACCGUUGCCUUGCCCUAGCACAAGCCGUGCUUUUGAUACUCCGAUGUAGUUUAAAGCACGAGCACAAACUGUGCUUUUGAUACUCCGAUAGAUGGCGGUUUCACAAACUGUGCUUUUGAUACUCUGAUGGAGUUUAAACGCAUUAAGCUAAUGUAUAACCAUACACGGUAACUUAAGAUCCCAUGUUUACCAUAACAAAUUACAAUGGCAACAAACAUUCUUGUAUCUCUUGAAUGAUGUGCCAGUGUUUAUUAGUUAGUACAGAAAUACCUUUACUGGUUUUCGGAAAUACUGGAAUGCUUUUUGUUUGUUUCUGCAAUGUAGACCAUCUCAUCUGCUUUCUGAGGGCCUCAAUCUUGAGUCUGCUGCAGAUGCCAAUAGCAGCCUUCCCUGAGGGGUGUCUUGUCUGGCGAAGAUCAAACAACAAAUUCACUCAAGAGAACAGAUAUGGGAUGCUAAGGGGAAGUAUCUGGUAUCUCUGUGCUUUAUAGACCAUGACCUCUUUAACUUGAUCCCAACGCAAGUUAAAAAUAGUCCAGCUGCUCUGAUUCGGUAUCAAUCUAUAAACAUGUUCUGAGGGAUGGGACUUUUUGUGAAGGUAAAUGACAUUCCAUAUGUCUACUGUGUGCAUGAUAAUCAGCCCAUUCAAGUGGGGCUGUUCUCUAAAAUAAAAUGAACUGUGAGGGCAAGAGUCUUAGGGCACAGGCUCUUUUCUACUGAUCAUAAUAUAUCUUGCAUACAUUUUGACUUGACAUCCAGGCACAUUCGCUGGGUCAUGGCCAAGCAUUCUGCUGCCUGUUCCAGCUGCAAGAAGACCUUAUUUGUCGUUAUGCCUGCGUCAGGGACUUUUCCUCAAAGGAUGAAUGUGCAUCAGCUGAAGUGGUGGUAUUUUCCAAAUAAGCGCUUAGCAGUCAGCAAAGCUAAAGAAGUUCAGUGGUGGGGUAAGUCAUUAAAAAUAUAUUAAAAAAAAAAAAAAAAAAAAAACUAGCAGGAAAAACCAAAAAAAGGGAUACUUUGGAUGAGGGGGUGAAAGGAAAGCAAAGGUUGGCCUUUACCAAAAUGUAAGCUAUAUAUUAGUAGGGGACUGACUCCUGCUGUACUGGAGGGAACAUUUUCAUGUAGUUUAGGCAUCAUAUUUUACUAUUAGUCCUGUUCUAUUUAGAACCAUGCAUUUGAUUUGUCAGAUGAUGUUGAUCCGAUUCCAUCCUAUGAAUGGAGUUUUUUUUACGCCCUUAGUGUUGCAUUCAUGAUCCUGUGAUAUUGAUGUUAUUAAGGUAACAUGAAAAGCUGAAGCAUACCUGCUUUUUGCCAAGAGGGGGAACAUAGUUUGGUGUGUGCUAAGACAAGAUGGUCUGAUUUUAUGUGUAGCACACAAGGUAUACCCAAGUACACUGGCGAGAACCAGGUACUAUUUAAAAUGCCUAUCAUUUCAGCCUUAUAUUCAGCUGCCCUUCAUCAGGUGUUAAUACCUGCUUGUUAUUGUGCUUCAUCAUACUGAAAUUAGAAACUUUAAUACAAUCAAUUACAUAUUCUGCUAGGUAUUUUGCGUACAUCCCGUUCCAUGGGAAGGUUAUAACAUUUCCUUGGGUUUGGCUUCGGGUGUGCCAGUGGUUCAUUUGUUGGGUAAGGUCUUUAAGUCAUAGACAAGAAACACAAAGGGAAUACACUUGUUCUAGCUAAAGGUCUGUGUGUAUGUAUUCCUGUGCAUUGUGAUAUGUGCACUAUAAUCAUGGUUUGCACACGUUAUUCUGGCAACAAAGGCCUCUAACUAAAUGUAUUACACUUCUGCUACGUUUAAUAGCAGAGCUUGAGUUUGCCAACUGAAGUUUAGCUUUGUAAGCUUGCAUGCAAAUAAUGUUACCAUAACUAAAUGAAGCAUCCUAAACACAUUUACAUUGCAUAUUUUCAUAAAAAAUAUUCAUAAUCUAGUGGAAGCUGAACUCCAUAUUCAAUCAUCUCAAUAAGGGUCAAUAUCAGUUGUAGAAUUGGAAAUAAGCAAAGGAUGAACAGAAUAUGAAAAAGUAAGGCACUAAACACUAGCAACCAAAAAUAUUCUAUUGUAAAAUACUGGUUUUGUUGUGUCUAUCUACUCUCUCGAGCUCAAAGAAGUGACACAAAAUAGAAUAUUCUUGGAAGAAACAAGUUUCUUGUAUUUUUUUCUCAUUGUUAUUUGUAGGAACUUUUUUUUUUUUUUUGGUGUCUGUCUUUUGGACUCUCUCAACAGCUCAUAGAAGUGACACAAAAUCAAAGGUUCAAAUCAGGAGAAGACCUUGUCUUGUAAGAAACAAUUAUAUUCAAUCUUUUGCUAGUUAAUUUAAUGUUUUGGAGCGUUUUUUGGUGAAAUUCCUCUAUUUCUUUUAAGAGCCCACCACAAACAAGUGUAAAGAAUGACAGAAAGAUCUUUAUAGGCCUAAGAAUUUCUAUAAUCAGGUAUGUAAUUUUUAAAUAAUAGUGUCCACGUGGGUCUGUGUCUGACUUUCCCUGCAAUAUUGAGAAACAAGUAUCUCUAUCCAAUGGCAGAAGAGAUUAUUUUGGACUCUCUCAAUAGUUCAUAGAAGUCACAUGGAAUAGAAGGUUCGGUCAGACAUGGUCUUAUAGGGAAAAAAAUUCCUGCAUUAUUCACAAAUGUAAAACUUGUGCAGGUGGUGUGCAAGUUUUAAAGGUACAGGACUGUGUCCGUCUGGGUGUUUGCUCUGACUUUCCCAACAGUAUUGAGAAGAACAACCAAAGAACGUUACUGAAAGGCAGAAAGGAAUCUUGACUACUAAUGAAGUAAACACUGUAAUAUUCAAGAAGUGGAAGCUUACUGUGUUGGAGAUGGGUUGCUUCGUCUGCCAGACUGGUAUUGGUUUUAAAAAGAAAAAAAAGAAAGAAAAAAAAAAUCAAGAAAGAAAAAAAAAAAAAACAAUCCUCUAAAAUCUACUACAUUAGAUGAUCUGAAGAAAAAUCAGAACUCGAGUUUUUUAACUGUUUUUAGGUAUUGUGCUGUGGUAUAGUAGGUUUUUUUUGCGGGUUCUAUCUUUUUUUUUUUUUUUACUCUUAACAGCUCAUUGAAUUGACACAAAAUAAAAGGUUAAUACCCGCAGAAGACGACAUCUUCUAAGAACAUUCCCGAAUAUGAAAUAGUAAGGAACUAAACACUAGCAAACAAAAGCAUUAUAUAGUAAAACAGUGGUUUUGUUGUGUCUACUUCUACUCUCUCGAGCUCACAGAAGUGACACAAUAUAGAAUAUUCAAGACAUCGUCUUGGAAGAAACAGGUUUCUUGCAUUUUUUUUCCUCAUUAUUUGUAGAAUAGUAGUUUUUUGGUGUCUAUCUUUUUGGACUCUCUCAACAGCUCAUAGAAGUGACACAAAAUCGAAGGUUCGAAUCAGGAGAGGACAUUGUCUUGUAAGAAACCAUUAUAUAUUCAGUGUUUUGCUAGUUUACGAGCUCUGUACUGUUUUUGAGAGUUUUUGGUGAAAUUCCUCUACUUUUUUUAAGAGCCCACCACAAACCGACAGAAAGACCUAUAUAGGCCUCAGAAUUUCUAUAAUCAGGUAUGUCAUUUUUAAACAAUAGUGUCCAUGUGUGUCUGUCAGACUUUCCCAGCGGUAUUGAGAAGAAGCAAGGAUCUCUACCAGAUGGAAUGUCGAGUAGUAUGGAAGAGAAUAAUUAUUUUGGACUGUCUCAUUAGUUCAUAUAAGUGACAUAAAAUAAAAGGUUCGAUCAGACAUAGUCUUAUAGUAAAAAAAAAUUCCUGCAUUAUUUACAAAUGUAAAACUUGUGUAGUUGGUGCGCCAGGUUUGAAGGUACAGGACUGUGUCCUUCUGGGUGUUUGCUCUGACUUUCUCAACAGUAUUGAGAAGAAGAACCACCAAAGAACGUUACUCAAAGGCAAAAGGUAAUCUUGACUACUAAUGAAGUAAACACUGUGAAAUAUUCAAGUAGUGGAAGCUUACUGUGUUGGAGAUGGGUUGCUUUGCCUGCCAGGCUGCUAUUGGUUUAAAAAAAGAAAAAAAAAAUGAAUAAUGUCUAAAAUCUACUACAUUAGAUGAUCUGAAGAAAAAUUAAAACUCAAUCUUUCUAACUGUUUUUAGAUAUUGUGCUGUACGAUAGUAGGGGGUUUUUUUUGUCUUUUUUUUUUUUGGACUCUCAACAGCUCAUUGAAUUGAUGCACAAUAAAAGGUUAAUAUCGGCAAAGAAUGACAUCUUGUAAAAACUUUCCAUAUUUAAUUAAUUUUAGACUUGUGUAGCCAUCGGAAUUUGCAUUUUGUGUCCGUUUUCUGUACUUCUUUUAUCAGCCCGUGAUAAAGGAGAAGAAAUGUCAAAGAAAUCCCUAUAGAUAAAAUAAUUCCUCUAAUCAGGUUUUCCAGUUUUAAAUAUAAAUGGCACUAGACAACUGAGCCCAUGUGCGUUUUUUGCUCUGACUUUCCCGACAGUAUUGAGAGGAAUCAAGGAACCUUACCCAACAUGAUAAUGGUAUCUCGGAAAGUAAGGAAAUAAUAUAUUAUCUAAAAGUGUAUUUAUACUGUUAAGGUGAUUUGCUUUGGUGUCUGUGUUCUUAGAUUCUCUUACCAGCUCAUAAAUGUGACACAAGUUGGAUGGUUCAAAUCAUAAGAGGAAGAGAUCCUAUAGGUGAAACAGAAGCUUCAAAUCAGCAGACGACUUCUUCUUGUAAAACUGAAUUUUCCUGAUUUUUUUUAAUGAAUUGAAGACUUGUGUAGUCUGUUGGAUAUGUGUUGCAUUUUGUGUCGGCUGCAUGUACUUCGGAUAUGUGUUGCAUUUUGUGUCGGCUGCAUGUACUUCUUUCAUCAGCUGGUGAUACAGAAGAAGGAGCGAGAAAGAGAUCCUAUAGGUGAAGCAGAAGCUUCAAAUCAGCGGAAGUCAUCGUCUUGUAAGACGGAAUUUUCCUGAUUUUUUUUUUUUUCUGAAUUGAAGACUUGUGUAGUAUUUUAGAUAAGUGUUGAAUUUUGUGUUGGCUGCCUGUACUUCUUUCAUCAGCUCGUGAUAAAGCAGAAGGAAUGUCACAGAGAUCCUAUAGGUGAAACAGAAGCUUCAAAUCAGCGGAAGUGACCAUAUUGUAAGACGGAAUUUUCCAGAUUUUUUUUCUGAAUUGAAGACUUGUGCAGUCAGUUGGAUAUGUGUUGCAUUUUGUGUUGGCUGCCUGUACUUCUUUCAUCAGCUCGUGAUGAAGCAGAAAGAAUGUCAAAGAGAUCCUAUAGGUGAAAUAGAAGCUUCAAAACAGCGGAAGCCAUCCUCUUGUAAGAUGGAACUUUCCUGAUUUUUUUAAUGAUUUGAAGACUUUUGUAGUAUUUUUGACAAGUGUUGUGAUAAGUGUUGCAUUUUGUGUCGGCUGCCUGUACUUCUUUCCUCAGCUCGUGAUACAGCAGAAGGAAUGUCAAAGAGAUCCCUAUUAGUCAGAGUAAUCCUAUAAUCAGGUAUGCGCCACUUUUUAAAUGUAAAUGGAACUAGAGAAUUGUGUUUUUUUGGUGUGUAUUUCCUCUUCAUUAUCCCAACAGUUAUGAGAAUCAAAGGAAUUUACCCUAAAUCAGAAUGGAAUCUCAAAUAGUAAGGAAGUGAACCCUAUGAGAUGUUGUAUUAUCUAGAAGUUGAACUAUACUGUAAAGGAGAUGGUUUGCUUUGGUGUCUAUCUUCUUGGACUUUCUCAACAGCUAAUUGACAUGAAAUGAGAUAAGUGGUUCAAAGCAGGGGAGAACAUCAUCUUGUAAGAAAUAAUUUUCCUGAUUUUUUUAAUGAUUUGAAGACUUGUGUAGUAUUUUGGAUAAGUGUUGCAUUUUGUGUCGGCUGCCUGUACUUCUUUUAUCAGCUCGUGAUAAAGCAGAAGGAAUGUCAAAGAGAUCCUAUAGGUGAAACAGAAGCUUCAAAUCAGCAGAAGUCAUCGUCUUGUAAGAUGGAAUUUUCCUGAUUUUUUUCCUGAAUUGAAGACUUGUGUAGUCCGUUGGAUAUGUGUUGCAUUUUGUGUCGGCUGCCUGUACUUCUUUCAUCAGCUCGUGAUACAGAAGAAGGAAUGUCAAAGAGAUCCUAUAGGUGAAACAGAAGCUUCAAAUCAGCCGAAGUCAUCGUCUUGUAAGAUGGAAUUUUCCUGAUUUUGUCAAUGAAUUGAAGACUUGUGUAGUAUUUUAUAUGUGUUGCAUUUUGUGUCGGCUUCCUGUACUUCUUUUAUCAGCCCGUGAUACAGAAGAAGGAAUGUCAAAGAGAUCCUAUAGGUGAAACAGAAGCUUCAAAUCAGCCGAAGUCACCGUAUUGUAAGAUGGAAUUUUCCUGAUUUUGUCAAUGAAUUGAAGACUUGCAUAGUAUGAUGGAUAUGUGUUGCAUUUUGUGUCGGCUUCCUGUACAUAUUUUAUCAGCCCGUGAUACAGAUGAAGGAAUGUCAAAGAGAUCCUAUAGGUGAAACAGAAGCUUCAAAUCAGCCGAAGUCACCGUAUUGUAAGAUGGAAUUUUCCUGAUUUUGUCAAUGAUUUGAAGACUUGUGUAGUAUUUUGGAUAAGUGUUGCAUUUUGUGUCGGCUGCCUGUACUUCUUUUAUCAGUUCGUGAUAAAGCAGAAGGAAUGUCAAAGAGAUCCUAUAGGUGAAACAGAAGCUUCAAAUCAGCGGAAGUCAUCGUCUUGUAAGAUGGAAUUUUCCUGAUUUUUUUCCUGAAUUGAAGACUUGUGUAGUCCGUUGGAUAUGUGUUGCAUUUUUUGUCGGCUGCCUGUACUUCUUUCAUCAGCUCGUGAUACAGAAGAAGGAAUGUCAAAGAGAUCCUAUAGGUGAAACAGAAGCUUCAAAUCAGCGGAAGUCAUCGUCUUGUAAGAUGGAAUUUUCCUGAUUUUUUUAAUGAUUUUAAGACUUGUGUAGUAUUUUGAAUGUGUUGCAUUUUGUGUUGGCUUCUUGUACUUCUUUUAUCAGCCCGUGAUACAGAAGAAGGAAUUUUUUAUGAGAUUCUAUAGGUGAAACAGAAGCUUCAAAUCAGCCGAAGUCAUCGUAUUGUAAGACGGAAUUUUCCUGAUUUUGUCAACGAAUUGAAGACUUGUAUAGUAUGAUGGAUAUGUGUUGCAUUUUGUGUCGGCUUCCUGUACAUAUUUUAUCAGCUCGUGAUACAGCAGAAGAAAUGUCAAAGAGAUCCUGUAGGUGAAACAGAAGCUUCAAAUCGGCCAAAGUCACCGUAUUGUAAGACGGAAUUUUCCUGAUUUUGUCAAUGAAUUGAAGACUGGUAUAGUAUGAUGGAUAUGUGUUGCAUUUUGUGUUGGCUUCUUGUACUUCUUUUAUCAGCCCGUGAUACAGAAGAAGGAAUUUUUAAUGAGAUUCUAUAGGUGAAACUGAAGCUUAAAAUCAGCCGAAGUCACCGUAUUGUAAGACGGAAUUUUCCUGAUUUUGUCAAUGAAUUCAAGACUUGUAUAGUAUGAUGGAUAUGUGUUGUAUUUUGUGUCAGCUUCCUGUACAUAUUUUAUCAGCCCGUGAUACAGAUGAAGGAAUGUCAAAGAGAUCCUAUAGGUGAAACAGAAGCUUCAAAUCAGCCGAAGUCACCGUAUUGUAAGAUGGAAUUUUCCUGAUUUUGUCAAUGAUUUGAAGACUUGUGUAGUAUUUUGGAUAAGUGUUGCAUUUUGUGUCGGCUGCCUGUACUUCUUUUAUCAGCUCGUGAUAAAGCAGAAGGAAUGUCAAAGAGAUCCUAUAGGUGAAACAGAAGCUUCAAAUCAGCGGAAGUCAUCGUCUUGUAAGAUGGAAUUUUCCUGAUUUUUUUCCUGAAUUGAAGACUUGUGUAGUCCGUUGGAUAUGUGUUGCAUUUUGUGUCGGCUGCCUGUACUUCUUUCAUCAGCUCGUGAUACAGAAGAAGGAAUGUCAAAGAGAUCCUAUAGGUGAAACAGAAGCUUCAAAUCAGCGGCAGUCACCGUAUUGUAAGACGGAAUUUUCCUGAUUUUUUUUAAUGAUUUGAAGACUUGUGUAGUAUUUUGAAUGUGUUGCAUUUUGUGUUGGCUGCCUGUACUUCUUUUAUCAGCUCGUGAUACAGCAGAAGGAAUGUCAAAGAGAUCCUAUAGGUGAAACAGAAGCUUCAAAUCAGCGGAAGUCAUCGUCUUGUAAGAUGGAAUUUUCCUGAUUUUUUUAAUGAUUUGAAGACUUGUGUAGUAUUUUGAAUGUGUUGCAUUUUGUGUCGGCUUCUUGUACUUCUUUUAUUAGCCCGCGAUACAGAAGAAGGAAUUUUUAAUGAGAUUCUAUAG